rnacentral:lncRNA from 1 species
GAGCAACCCAGAAGCACCGGAUAAAUCGGCCAGCAAAGAAAAAUCCAAGAAACCAGUAAGAUUUCUACCACAGCUGUCUAUGGAGAAAUUAGCCAGCAAAGAAAAGUUCAAGGCACCAGCAAGAGCUUUACCACAGCUGUCUAUGGUGAGUACAAAGCCCCACUGGCAGCAGGCAGCUCCAUCAUUCCAUUUGAGUGUAAAGCAGGAUGAUGAGAGUCCA